AUUGAACGCUGGCGGAAUGCUUUACACAUGCAAGUCGAACGGCAGCACGGACUUCGGUCUGGUGGCGAGUGGCGAACGGGUGAGUAAUACAUCGGAACGUGCCCAGUCGUGGGGGAUAACGUAGCGAAAGCUACGCUAAUACCGCAUACGAUCUACGGAUGAAAGCGGGGGAUCGCAAGACCUCGCGCGAUUGGAGCGGCCGAAGGCAGAUUAGGUAGUUGGUGGGGUAAAGGCUCACCAAGCCGACGAUCUGUAGCUGGUCUGAGAGGACGACCAGCCACACUGGGACUGAGACACGGCCCAGACUCCUACGGGAGGCAGGAGUGGGGAAGUUUGGACAAUGGGCGCAAGCCUGAUCCAGCCAUUCCGCGUGCAGGAUGAAGGCCCUCGGGUUGUAAACUGCUUUUGUACGGAACGAAAAGGCUCUGGUUAAUACCCGGGGCUCAUGACGGUACCGUAAGAAUAAGCACCGGCUAACUACGUGCCAGCCGCCGCAGUAA
rnacentral:rRNA from 1 species